rnacentral:rRNA from 1 species
CGGCGGACGGGUGAGUAAUGCCUAGGAAUCUGCCUGGUAGUGGGGGACAACGUUUCGAAAGGAACGCUAAUACCGCAUACGACCUACGGGUGAAAGCAGGGGAUCUUCGGACCUUGCGCGAUUGAAUGAGCCGAUGUCGGAUUAGCUAGUUGGCGGGGUAAAGGCCCACCAAGGCGACGAUCCGUAGCUGGUCUGAGAGGAUGAUCAGCCACACUGGAACUGAGACACGGUCCAGACUCCUACGGGAGGCACAGUU